rnacentral:rRNA from 1 species
GACGAACGCUGGCGGCGUGCUUAACACAUGCAAGUCGAGCGGUAAGGCCCUUUCGGGGGUACACGAGCGGCGAACGGGUGAGUAACACGUGGGUGACCUGCCCUCAGCUCUGGGAUAAGCCUGGGAAACCGGGUCUAAUACUGGAUAUGACUCCAUGACGCAUGUUGUGGGGUGGAAAGCCUUGUGCGGCUGAGGAUGGGCCCGCGGCCUAUCAGCUUGUUGGUGGGGUGANGGCCUACCAAGGCGACGACGGGUAGCCGGCCUGAGAGGGCGACCGGCCACACUGGGACUGAGACACGGCCCAGACUCCUACGGGAGGCAGCAGUGGGGAAUCUUGCGCAAUGGGCGAAAGCCUGACGCAGCGAACGCCGCGUGAGGGAUGACGGCCU